GCCUAUGAUGAUUCAAUCCGCUUGUUUGAGGUGUGGUGGAGCUGAGACCCUGUUUUCAGGGAGAACCCCUCGGCGAAGCCACAUUUCGUAUGACAUUAAUGGAUUUAGCUGAGGU
rfam:Prunus persica cultivar Lovell chromosome G3, whole genome shotgun sequence.